AAUCUCAAAAAUAUUGAUGAAAUGGUUUGCGAAAAGCCUUAAGGUCUUUUGUUAUCAAAGGGAGAAAACUCAACCUAAACCGACAAUCCACCAUGUGAGGAGAGCUUCAAUAUACUAGUAAGUGAUCCACCCUAUAAUAAGUAUAGAAGACUUAUAGUCCAAUCACUAAGGAAAAGGUGAGGAUUACAUCAACCACCAUGAUGACUCAAACCUAUGGCUAAUGUUUAUGAAAAAG
rnacentral:lncRNA from 1 species